rnacentral:tRNA from 1 species
UAGCCUUGUGGUUAAGGCUAUGGAUCGCCAAUCCGAAGACGGCGGGUUCGAUUCCCGU